CCCGGGUUCAAGUCCUGCCCAGUGCACCUGAGCCCCUUCCACAGCACAUGGUGCUCCCGGCUGUGGCAGUGGCAGGGCUGUGGAGAGCGACACUGAUCCCCCAGCCCGCCGGUCAUCGCAGCGGGCUCACUCCGAAUCCGCCUGCUGGCUCUGGGGACACGGCCUGGGCCCAGCUCCAGGACGGUGACCAUCUGUCAUCCCUGCUCCAGAGAAGAGAGACAAACUACAUUGGCCACAUCUGCCCUCCCUCCCAGACCCUCAAACCCUCCCCUGGCUCUAGUUCUGUACCCCAAACUCGUGGCUGAGCUCCCCCCACCCCGCCACCCAGUUACCUUCAUCCUCACUGCUGCAUGCUCAGCCAGUAGAUCACCAGAGUCUGGGAGCAGACUCUUCACCGGCUAAGCUAAUGGACUGUCACACGGAUCAGCCUGAGGUUUGGAGCCAAGACGAAGUAGGAAGUAGUGGGGGCACUUGCUUCUGGAGGAAGGGUUUCAAAUCCUGGAGGAGCAUCCAUUAGGCAGCAGGGUGUCUGUGAGGUGAGUGUGGGGAGUCUCUCGGGAGGGAGCUGUAUAUGCCCCGCAAGACAAGCAAGCAAAUGAGAAGACACAGAGAGGCGGACACAGUGGAUAAUUUAGGCCCAACAGCUCCCGGGCAGUGCUGCCCACAUGACUGUGCAUCCAGCUUCCCGGGGGGAGCACUUGGGCUGUGGCACAAGUGGGUCUGUCUCUGGGGGGUGAGCAGCCUGCUGUGGAUGCUGAGCUGUUCGCCGCUCCCGGGGGGUCCUUGUGCAUUUGGAUUCUGAAAGGGAGCCGUGCAGGCGCGGCCCCUUCUUUGCACUUGGAGCGGGAGUGGAAGGCACCUAUGCACGUGUUGCUCUAGAGAUGCCAGGUAGUAUGGCGGGCUGGGAAAAGGGGCUGGCCCGCGGCAGGCAGGGUCCUGAGCCCUGCACAGCUCUGCUGGUGUAGCCAGGAGAUGCUCUGCUUACAGGAGGAAAGGACAGGACACAGAAGGCCCAAAGCCUUCCUGUGCCACUGACAGUAUCGUUGUCCUUCAACUACAUGGCUCCCCCUUCCAAGCCCAGGUCCCCUUGCUUAAGGCUGUGGAGCCACCUGGCCAGUACCCCACCCAGGCACUGAGGUCCCUGGGCCUCAGACCUCCGCCAGCUGCCCAGGCUUCCUGUGUCAGGUCUGGGAAGAGGAACAGUAUGUGUGACGCAGCCAGACCCAGAUGGAAGAAGGAAACAGAGUGAUGCAGAAUCAGUGGACAAGUUUAUUCCACUAACUCCUAAGUCUGAAAAUAGAUGAGGAGACAGAUUAAAGGCCCAUGCUGGCACCAGGAGAGGAGCUGUAUUUGAGGCUGAGAAUGUGCCCAGCAGAGGAGGAACCUGCCACCCAGAAGGAUGCCAGGCUACACCUACAGAAGAGACAGUGGGGACAGUGCCCAGGAUCUGAUCACCUCAACUAGGCCCAAGCUCUGAGGUCUCACAACACUGGGGACCAAGUCCAGCUCUGGAGCCCUGGGAGAUGCUCAGACGCCUCCAAACCACACAACGGGCCUCCUUCUAGAUGUGAGGUCACACAAGAGGUCUAGUGACCACCUCGUGCACACAGAUCCUGCUUUGGAUGAGGCAGUAGAAAAGGACACGUGGGGACAACGGGCACAUGUGAAUACAGAUGGCUACUCAGCAGCACUAGGGAAGUCUUGUUACUGUUGUUAGCUGUGGCAAUGUUAUCACAAUUAAGUAAGAAAAUGCCAUUAAGAAAAAAACCAAGAAUAUUUGGGGGAAGAUGUC
rnacentral:lncRNA from 1 species